rnacentral:tRNA from 1 species
AGUGAUAUGUCUGAUAAAAGAUAUAUUUUGAUAAAAUAUUAAUGUAUAUUUAAUUAUACUAUUACUA